ACACAACUGGUUGGUAGUAGGCGAAAAAGGUUGGAGGAGAAAGAAAUCAAGCACCAGACUUAAUUGCCUUAAUUGUUGAGACCUUGCAUAGAGAGAGAGUGAAAAAGAUUUGAAGGUCAAAAAUGUCAACUGCUUCAUUAUGUUCAUCAACUCUUCAGUCCCAAAUAAGUGGACUUGGUUCGGGUCUAAAGCUUCAAAGACAAAAUCUUUCUCAACCCAGUUCGUUUACCUUCACAAGGAAAACUUUUAGGACCGCAGUGAAGGCUACAGCUAGGGUUGAUAAGUGCUCAAAAAGCGAUAUCAUUGUUUCUCCAUCCAUUCUAUCUGCUAACUUUGCAAAGUUGGGGGAGCAGGUAAAAGCAGUAGAGGUGGCUGGCUGUGAUUGGAUCCAUGUUGAUGUUAUGGAUGGCCGCUUUGUACCAAACAUUACCAUUGGACCUCUUGUGGUUGAUGCCUUGCGCCCCGUGACUCACCUUCCUUUGGAUGUGCAUUUGAUGAUUGUGGAACCAGAGCAGCGGGUGCCUGAUUUUAUCAAAGCUGGGGCUGACAUAGUUAGUGUUCACUGUGAGCAAACUUCUACAAUCCAUUUGCACCGUACAGUUAACCAAAUAAAAAGUCUAGGAGCUAAAGCUGGAGUUGUCCUAAACCCCGGUACCCCUUUAAGUGCUAUAGAGUACGUUCUUGAUGCUGUUGAUCUAGUCUUGAUUAUGUCUGUCAACCCUGGCUUUGGUGGACAGAGCUUUAUUGAGAGUCAAGUAAAGAAAAUUUCUGACUUGAGAAGAAUGUGUGCAGAGAAGGGAGUGAAUCCAUGGAUUGAAGUGGAUGGGGGAGUAGGUCCUUCAAAUGCAUACAAGGUAAUUGAGGCUGGAGCAAAUGCUAUUGUUGCUGGUUCAGCUGUCUUUGGAGCUAAAGAUUAUGCUGAAGCUAUUAGAGGAAUCAAAAAUGCCAAAAGGCCUGAAGCAGUUGCAGCCUGAGCUCUGUGAUAUCUUCUUUUAAUUUGUAAUACCAUAUUUUUGCAUUGCCAUCCAACAGGCAUGAUGAGUUUGACCACCAAAUUGAUCAUAUCAACUUCUUCAAAUUAUGCUGUCAAUUCCUGCAAUAUCUCUUCUGUCAGAGUGAAAUAAAAAUACAAUCGAGCGGUAAGACAGCUGCCUGCGUGCAUACUAUGUAUACUAUAUUUUUAAUAGAGAUCCAAUCAUCCGGAUUUUAAGAUCUUAACUCCGACGAAUUGCUUCCAUACAAAUAAAUAUUUUUUCUGCCAUCUUGUCUGCCUUUUCUUUUUCUACCAUCUUUGAAUGCUUAUCUUUAGAUUUUUAGUUAAAAGAAAGUAGCUGUUUUCUUUUGAAAGAGGGAAAGAGGAGCUAAGGCCUGGAAGCUGCAUGUAUGCUGAAGAAAACUUUGAUAAAUGUAUGGUGUGCUAUGCUUAAAUGAACAUGUUAGUACUA